rnacentral:rRNA from 1 species
AUACAGAGGGUGCGAGCGUUAAUCGGAAUUACUGGGCGUAAAGCGCGCGUAGGCGGCUGAUUAAGUCAGAUGUGAAAUCCCAGGGCUCAACCUUGGAACUGCAUCCGAUACUGGUCAGCUAGAGUUUAGGAGAGGGAAGUAGAAUUUCAGGUGUAGCGGUGAAAUGCAUAGAUAUCUGAAGGAAUACCAGUGGCGAAGGCGGCUUCCUGGCCUAAAACUGACGCUGAGGUGCGAAAGCGUGGGUAGCAAACGGGAUUAGAAACCCCAGUAGUCC